UUAAAACCUGUUUUUGUUCAAAGUGCUUUAAAGAUAAGGUUUGUAAACAGCUCUGAUUUUAUUACAUGAAAAUAUCUCUAGAUGAUAUUUUCUUGUCCGAUCCUGGUCUCUGGUUUCCUCGUACAGAUCCUGGUCUCAGGUUUCCCCGUACAGAGACUGUCUGUCUCUCUGGGUCCUGACUCUCCCUGCAGCCUCUCCUCUGUUUACAGUACAGGUUGUAAUCUGGACGCGUUGCCGGGAAACCACCCGGCUGAACUUUUGUUCCGUUUGUUGUCCCGAUGACUGUAUCAGCAGGAGGAUUAGUCACGAGGAGCAGCAAAGCGCGCCAAACUCAGCAGCC